UACGAAGGAUCCAAGCGUUGUCCGGAUUUACUGGGUUUAAAGGGUGCGUAGGCGGAUGAUUAAGUCAGUGGUGAAAGCUUGCAGCUUAACUGUAAAAUUGCCAUUGAAACUGAUCGUCUUGAAUAUGGUUGAGGUGGUUGGAAUAUAUCAUGUAGCGGUGAAAUGCUUAGAUAUGAUAUAGAACACCGAUUGCGAAGGCAGAUCACUAAACCAUUAUUGACGCUGAGGCACGAAAGCGUGGGGAUCAAACAGG
rnacentral:rRNA from 1 species